GGAUUAGAUACCCUGGUAGUCCACGCCGUAAACGAUGUCGACUUGGAGGUUGUGCCCUUGAGGCGUGGCUUCCGGAGCUAACGCGGUAAGUCGACCGCCUGGGGAGUACGGCCGCAAGGUUAAAACUCAAAUGAAUUGACGGGGGCCCGCACAAGCGGUGGAGCAUGUGGUUUAAUUCGAUGCAACGCGAAGAACCUUACCUGGUCUUGACAUCCACGGAAGUUUUCAGAGAUGAGAAUGUGCCUUCGGGAACCGUGAGACAGGUGCUGCAUGGCUGUCGUCAGCUCGUGUUGUGAAAUGUUGGGUUAAGUCCCGCAACGAGCGCAACCCUUAUCCUUUGUUGCCAGCGGUCCGGCCGGGAACUCAAAGGAGACUGCCAGUGAUAAACUGGAGGAAGGUGGGGAUGACGUCAAGUCAUCAUGGCCCUUACGACCAGGGCUACACACGUGCUACAAUGGCGCAUACAAAGAGAAGCGACCUCGCGAGAGCAAGCGGACCUCAUAAAGUGCGUCGUAGUCCGGAUUGGAGUCUGCAACUCGACUCCAUGAAGUCGGAAUCGCUAGUAAUCGUGGAUCAGAAUGCCACGGUGAAUACGUUCCCGGGCCUUGUACACACCGCCCGUCACACCAUGGGAGUGGGUUGCAAAAGAAGUAGGUAGCUUAACCUUCGGGAGGGCGCUUACCACUUUGUGAUUCAUGACUGGGGUGAAGUCGUAACAAGGUAACCGUAGGGGAACCUGCGGUUGGAUCAC
rnacentral:rRNA from 1 species